UACGGAGGGUGCGAGCGUUGUCCGGAAUCAUUGGGCGUAAAGGGCGCGUAGGUGGCGCGGUCAGUUCGUGGUGAAAGCGCGGGGCUCAACCCCGCGUCGGCCAUGAAUACUGCUGGGCUGGAGCACUGUAGAGGCAGGCGGAAUUCCGGGUGUAGCGGUGGAAUGCGUAGAGAUCCGGAAGAACACCGGUGGCGAAGGCGGCCUGCUGGGCAGUUGCUGACACUGAGGCGCGACAGCGUGGGGAGC
rnacentral:rRNA from 1 species